UCGAGCCUUUGUCUGGGGGAACAGUUUCCCUAACUCUGAAGCGUGGGUAAAAACCCAGCACAUGAAAACCGCAAAAACCUGUGGGCCGUGCAUCCAAAGCGAGUCUGUGCAAGGGAAGCCACGCCCCCCCGGGCGGAGGUCAGAUCCCGGAAGGAGGGGCGGAGGUGAACUUGCCGAGGCUUCAGGGCAGUGUCAGCCAAGGGGCUCUAACACCCUUGCCAUUUUGUCGUGCUGUGUGCCCGCUCUCUGUGCUCUGGACCCUUUUGCAGACCAAUAAAGCCGCAGACUCCGGCGGCGGCCGUUUUGGAUUUUCUGAACCAGGCACUUGCCUGGGCCUGUGGCUUUGGAUCAAGGUGACAAAGAGGCCUCAAGUCUCAUGCCAACUCUGAGUGACUAGAGGUGGCUGGCUGGACUGCUGGGUUGGGAAUCUUCUCAGGACUCUGUCCAGGAGAGCGGGGGACAGGGACAGUGACUGCUCUGCCAGGCUAGCCCAGGCUGGUUUGCAUGGUGACAACAAGAAGAGAAGUUGCAAGGCCUCUUAAGUCCUAGGCUCAGAACUGACCUAGGAUCACACCUCACUUCCAUUGAUCAAAGCAAAUCACCAACCCUGAUUCCACCAAAGCUCGUGAGGACAAACGGGGCAACUACACAAAAGCACGUAUAAGUGACAAAAGACACACAUUUUGAGAAAUUAAGAGAGGUCAUUGAGACACUAAAUUCCUUUAAAACAAAGACUUCUAUUUGUUGUUGGCAAAUGCAAGUGAAAAAAGCAGGAUGUAAAACAAUUAAUCCAGCCUUAGACCAAGUUUUUAAAAAACAAAAAUGUUUACUUAUAUAUUGUCCUGGGAAGACGACAAAAAAGAUAAAUACAGAAAUACAGCACAAUAUUAACAAUGUGGGUCAUCUUUGCUGGGAUUAGAGGUGAUUUGGGUUUUUUUUUUUUGUUUCUACUUCUCUGGACUUUCCCAAUUUCCUAUAAAAAACCUGAGUUACUUUAAUAAUCAAGGAAAAAUGUAAUUAAAAGAAACCACACGAUGGAUUCUAAUUGCUUCAACAUUUAAAAACAAAAUUCUGAGUUAUUUGAUUGUGUUGUUCAUGGUAUUUGCUGGAAUUGGGGCUUUUGUAUUUUCUUGUUUAAAAUUAUCCUGAGGCACUAAUUUGCACACCAAGGUCGUGAACUCUUAAUUUCAAGUUUAUAAAAUAAAAUAUAUUAAUCAGU